rnacentral:misc_RNA from 1 species
AACGCACCUUGCGCUCCUUGGUAUUCCGAGGAGCAUGCCUGUUUGAGUGUCAUGAAAUUCUCAACCUAACAAGUUUUUAACCAGACUUGCUUAGGCUUGGACUUGGAGGCUUGUCGGCUCUUAGCAGUCGGCUCCUCUCAAAUGCAUUAGCUUGGUUCCUUGCGGAUCGGCUCACGGUGUGAUAAUUGUCUACGCCGCGACCGUUGAAGCGUUUUAAUGGCCAGCUUCUAAUCGUCUCUUGCGAGACAGCAUUCAUCGAACUCUGACCUCAAAUCAGGUAGGACUACCCGCUGAACUUAA